CUUCAGGGGCAAAUGUGGUGUUUCACUUUUGAACGAGACCGAGUCAGUAGCCUGCUAUUUGGAAAAAGAGGAUGGAUUUUUCUAUUCCUUAGUCUACGAUCCCUCACAGAAAACACUUCUGGCAGACAAAGGAGAAAUACGAGUAGGCUCACGCUACCAAGCAGAUAUUUCAGACAUGCUGAAUGAAGAUUUCCACCAUCCACAGUGUUUCGCUUUCAUAUUACAAUGACCUGGAACUUGCUGCCCAUGAGAUGUUGGACAUGAAGACUAUGAACAACCCCAAAAAUAAAUUGGAUGAGAACUUGUGAUGAUAAGGAGUAUAUGGGGGAUUGCCAUAUGGAGUGCCAGUGUAGGUUUGAUGGGCCAAAUAGUGGCCUCUCUUGCCCUGAUGAUACCAUUAUUAUUCUAUUCGUGAUGGAAUAAAAGCAAGCUGGAUUUUGUUAAAAAUGUAUGUUCUAGAAUAUUUUACUAUAGCCUUUAAAUCAUAUUCUUGCUUGGAGAAGUAAAGAAGCUUUGAAAAGCAUUUGAAAGCAAUCACAACAUGCAAUAUCUUAAUUCAUCAGUGCUUUGCCAAUGCUUGAACUAUGAAAGCAUAGAGAAGUUUUUUUAAGUGAUCCAACUUGCAUUAUGCAGUCAAGUACAUUUUACUUUUUUCUGUACAAAAUAAAAUUGUUUCAUGAAAACACAGCUACUGUUUGCUGUUUCUGGAUUAGCUUUGGGUUUAGCUUGAUUUGUUACCUUGAUUUGUUACCUUGUUUACCAGUAGGACCUCAAUAAACAAUGAAGGGCAAUUUCACAUGUAAUAUCAAAAACGCAUAAUUUAGAAUAUCUGGAAUAUGCAAAAAAAAUUGAAAAUACCACUAUUCUAAAGUGGCAGCUUCCACAAUAUAAUGCCCUGUCAUCUAAUCCUGUGUUGCUUUAGAUGUUGACAGCUGUAAUAUUUGGUUAUAAUUAUUAUGUAAACAUAUAGUUUUAAAAAAUUAGUGGACCAAAAUACACAGGUAUUUGCUCAAAUUUGAAAAUUUGUCAGUGCCUCUAUGCUUCUUUUAAUUGAAUGAUUUACUAAGUUUUAAUAAAUUCCAAUAAAUAAUAGAUAAUCACCAGAACAUUGGAAAAAAAUAACGUGUAGGGUAAUUUACAUUAUUUUUAAUAGAAAGUUCAGUGCAGUGUUGUAACAGUAUGUUAAUAUGUAAAUAAUGUGGCAGUGACUUACAAUACUUCAGAAGUUGAAAGCAGUUUGAUUAUUUUCAUUACAUUUUCAUUAUUGUGGGAAUCAGUCUUGAUACGAGGUAUUGUUUUUUAAAGGAAUCUUUUCAUUGAUUGAAGUAGAAAACAUAUGAUAUUUGUCAAAGUUUAUUGACUUUUUUUGUUUGAAGAAGCCAAUUAUUUCACCUUGUAAAUAUCAAUUUGCUGUUAAUGGGUUGUGCAAGACAUAUACUCUUGAAAAAUUCAAGUUUUGCUAGUUUACCUUUGUGAAAACUUGCCCCACUAUCUGUGGAAUAAAGGAUGUUUACUGUCU